GACGAACGCUGGCGGCGUGCCUAAUACAUGCAAGUAGAACGCUGAAGGAGGGGCUUGCUUCUCUGGAUGAGUUGCGAACGGGUGAGUAACGCGUAGGUAACCUGCCUGGUAGCGGGGGAUAACUAUUGGAAACGAUAGCUAAUACCGCAUAAUAGCAGUUGUUGCAUGACAACUGUUUGAAAGGUGCAAUUGCACCACUACCAGAUGGACCUGCGUUGUAUUAGCUAGUUGGUGGGGUAACGGCUCACCAAGGCGACGAUACAUAGCCGACCUGAGAGGGGGAUCGGCCACACUGGGACUGAGACACGGCCCAGACUCCUACGGGAGGCAGCAGUAGGGAAUCUUCGGCAAUGGACGGAAGUCUGACCGAGCAACGCCGCGUGAGUGAAGAAGGUUUUCGGAUCGUAAAGCUCUGUUGUAAGAGAAGAACGAGUGUGAGAGUGGAAAGUUCACACUGUGACGGUAUCUUACCAGAAAGGGACGGCUAACUACGUG
rnacentral:rRNA from 1 species